rnacentral:ncRNA from 1 species
AAAAAGGCUUUGACGAAAAGGAGUAGGAAGGCGGGAUGCUCAAGAGAGCUGACGGUAGCUGCGAGUCAGUGCGGAACGCCUUUUGAAAAUCAUUUCCGAGCUGCCGCGCCGAAACAGCAGUAAGCGCGGACGGAUGCCCCCGUCAUCACGGGCAGCGCAUUCCAAUGGAUGCGAAAGAGCGGCCAUCUCAGGAUGGCAAUAAGAGUGGUACCGCAGAGGUCUGAACCUUUGUCUCUUAU